UACGAAGGUGGCAAGCGUUACUCGGAAUUACUAGGCGUAAAGGGCAGGUAGGUGGUUUGAUAAGUCUGUUGUGAAAGCUCCCGGCUCAACUGGGAGAGGUCAACAGAAACUAUCAGACUUGAGUAUGGGAGAGGGUACUGGAAUUCCCGGUGUAGCGGUGAAAUGCGCAGAGAUCGGGAGGAACACCAAUGGCGAAAGCAGGUACCUGGACCAUUGCUGACACUCAGCUGCGAAAGCUAGGGGAGCAAACAGG
rnacentral:rRNA from 1 species